CGUGUAGGCGGCUUGACAAGUCAGAUGUGAAAUCCCUGGGCUUAACCCAGGAAGUGCAUUUGAAACUGUCAGGCUAGAGUAAGGGAGAGGAAAGUGAAAUUCCUGGUGUAGAGGUGAAAUUCGUAGAUAUCAGGAGGAACACCGGUGGCGAAGGCGACUUUCUGGCCCUAUACUGACGCUGAGACGCGAAAGCGUGGGUAGCAAACAG
rnacentral:rRNA from 1 species